rnacentral:rRNA from 1 species
UACGUAGGUGGCAAGCGUUGUCCGGAUUUACUGGGCGGAAAGAGCGCGCAGGCGGUCGUUCAAGUCGCGUGUGAAAGCCCCCGGCUCAACUGGGGAGGGUCACGCGAUACUGAUCGACUGGAAGGCAGGAGAGGGUAGUGGAAUUCCCGGUGUAGUGGUGAAAUGCGUAGAUAUCCGGAGGAACACCGGUGGCGAAGGCGGCUUCCUGGACCGAUACUGACGCUGAGGCGCGAAAGCUAGGGGAGCAAACGGG